UGUUUUAAUCUUUAUGUUUUAUUUAUAGAAAGAAACAGGAUUUUGGCGAGCCCUAACUAUUACACAUGAAACCGCAGUAGAGGAGGUUAGCGAAAUGCAGGGCGAUGAGGCCAGGGUCUUGCUAGGCUUCCCUCCCUAUUCCCGCCCCACCCUCUCCCAGGUUAAAGCUGCUUGCAGAAAGAAGGUAUGGGUGUCUCAUUCUGACAUCUUUCCCUUUCACAAAAAGCCUUGUCUUGAGUUCGGGUUCAAGUUGCAAACUGUUUUUUGGCACAGGAUAUUCUUGUAUCUUGUACUGCCAUUCAAUGUGUCUAACCUCACUAUGUGCAUUUUUACUGCAGACCUCAGAAUCUUACACUUACCUUCUGUCCGCUGUUGAUAUCUAUCUUUGGGGGUCAUGCAACAGGAGUGUUGCAUUGGGGAAGGACUUCCAGUGUGUCAAAGAGCUGAAGGCUAAAAAGUUAUUGCUGCUAAUUGCCAAAUGAUUCAAGGGAUGGCCCCACUUCGGUCUGCAGGAUAUGUUGAUCCUGGGUGGGAGCAUGGCAUUGCUCAAGAUGAAA